rnacentral:rRNA from 1 species
GGAUGACGGCCUUCGGGUUGUAAACCUCUUUCAGCAGGGAAGAAGCCACAAGUGACGGUACCUGCAGAAGAAGCGCCGGCUAACUACGUGCCAGCAGCCGCGGUAAUACGUAGGGCGCAAGCGUUGUCCGGAAUUAUUGGGCGUAAAGAGCUCGUAGGCGGUUUGUCGCGUCUGCUGUGAAAGCCCGGGGCUCAACCCCGGGUCUGCAGUGGGUACGGGCAGACUAGAGUGCAGUAGGGGAGACUGGAAUUCCUGGUGUAGCGGUGAAAUGCGCAGAUAUCAGGAGGAACACCGAUGGCGAAGGCAGGUCUCUGGGCUGUUACUGACGCUGAGGAGCGAAAGCAUGGGGAGCGAACAGGAUUAGAUACCCUGGUAGUCCAUGCCGUAAACGUUGGGCACUAGGUGUGGGGGACAUUCCACGUUCUCCGCGCCGUAGCUAACGCAUUAAGUGCCCCGCCUGGGGAGUACGGCCGCAAGGCUAAAACUCAAAGGAAUUGACGGGGGCCCGCACAAGCGGCGGAGCAUGCGGAUUAAUUCGAUGCAACGCGAAGAACCUUACCAAGGCUUGACAUUCACCGGACCGCCUCAGAGAUGGGGUUUCCCUUCGGGGUCGGUGGACAGGUGGUGCAUGGUUGUCGUCAGCUCGUGUCGUGAGAUGUUGGGUUAAGUCCCGCAACGAGCGCAACCCUCGUUCUAUGUUGCCAGCACGUGAUGGUGGGGACUCAUAGGAGACUGCCGGGGUCAACUCGGAGGAAGGUGGGGAUGACGUCAAAUCAUCAUGCCCCUUAUGUCUUGGGCUUCACGCAUGCUACAAUGGCCGGUACAAAGGGUUGCGAUACUGUGAGGUGGAGCUAAUCCCAAAAAGCCGGUCUCAGUUCGGAUUGAGGUCUGCAACUCGACCUCAUGAAGUCGGAGUCGCUAGUAAUCGCAGAUCAGCAACGCUGCGGUGAAUACGUUCCCGGGCCUUGUACACACCGCCCGUCAAGUCACGAAAGUUGGUAACACCCGAAGCCGGUGGCCUAACCCCU